rnacentral:rRNA from 1 species
UACGAAUGGGGCUAGCGUUGCUCGGAAUUACUGGGCGUAAAGGGCUCGUAGGCGGCCAACUAAGUCAGACGUGAAAUCCCUCGGCUUAACCGGGGAACUGCGUCUGAUACUGGAUGGCUUGAGUUUGGGAGAGGGAUGCGGAAUUCCAGGUGUAGCGGUGAAAUGCGUAGAUAUCUGGAGGAACACCGGUGGCGAAGGCGGCAUCCUGGACCAACACUGACGCUGAGUGAGCGAAAGCCAGGGGAGCAAACGGG